rnacentral:miRNA from 1 species
AAAGUAAUCUUUAAUCUGAUU